rnacentral:rRNA from 1 species
GACGAACGCUGGCGGCGUGCUUAACACAUGCAAGUCGAACGGAAAGGCCCUGCUUUUGUGGGGUGCUCGAGUGGCGAACGGGUGAGUAACACGUGAGUAACCUGCCCUUGACUUUGGGAUAACUUCAGGAAACUGGGGCUAAUACCGGAUAGGAGCUCCUGCUGCAUGGUGGGGGUUGGAAAGUUUCGGCGGUUGGGGAUGGACUGGCGGCUUAUCAGCUUGUUGGUGGGGUAGUGGCUUACCAAGGCUUUGACGGGUAGCCGGCCUGGGAGGGGGAACGGCCACAUUGGGACUGAGAUACGGCCCAGACUCCUACGGGAGGCAACAGUGGGGAAUAUUGCACAAUGGGCGGAAGCCUGAUGCAGAAACGCCGCGUGCGGGAUGACGGCCUUCGGGUUGUAAACCGCUUUAGCCUGUGACGAAGCGUGAGUGACGGUAAUGGGUAAAGAAGCACCGGCUAACUACGUG